rnacentral:lncRNA from 1 species
UGACAGCGUGAUUUUUGGCCCUUUCUUUUUCUUUUGUUUUUCCGAGGUUUUUGCCCGAGUUUUUCUUUUUCCGUGGCUUUGUGGUCUGGAAACUGAAGAAGAUGCCCUCUUCUUUGUUUCCAGAGUGGCUUGUCAUUCCCAAAUCUUUCCCUAGACCCUGUCAUUUUCAUCCUAGCCCAAAUCCCAAUAUUCUUUUAUUGGGAAUAUUCCUUUUCUAUUAAAGGAAUAACUCAAAUUGCCCUAGGUUGUGAAGCAACCUAUAUUUCCCUCAUUCCUAAAAUUCCCAAAUAAUUCUCAUAAAUUUUUUGGGUCAUAUCUUGAUCAAAUAUGGCAAAACCUUUCAUUGCCAUGUUCAAAAAUAAUUCCCCAAUAAUUCAUUUCCUAUUCUGCCCCAAAUGGCACAUUGUGAAGCAAGUGCCAUUUUCCUUUGCCCAAUUGACCUAAAUCUCCUUUUAAAUCUUUUCAUGUCCAUAUCUUUGCCACAUCCCAAAAUGCAACCUCAUUUUCCUAGUAAUUAUUUAAUUAUGAUUUUCCAAAGUUUCUGUCCAGAAAGAAGCUUUGUGAAGGAGGUACAAGCUAGGAAUAUCCAAAUGAGUUUCCAUUUUGCAGGAUCCUUCAUAUAAUAAUAUCAUAGCCCUCCAGAAAAGUAGAGCUCAUGUCAUGCCUUCAUGUGAGCUAAGCCUCAAUUCUUAGUUUCUGGUCAAAAUUUCAGUUUGUGAAGCAAGUAUAUUUUAUCUUGCUCCAUUAUGGCUGCCAAUAUUUCUAGGACUUCUAGUAUCCAUAUAACUUCCCACCACCAAGUUGUGUCUCAAUCCCUUUGACCAUUUGCCCUGUGGAAUUUUUCCAAGUUUCUGGCCAGAAUAAAUCUUUCUAAAGCAAGUGCUAUUUUGGUUCAUCCAAAUGGCAUGAAACUCCUUGGGCAUCUGUAUAUAUUCAAAUCAUUGGGCCAUAACCAUUUUCAGCUCUAUUGAUGCAACUAUGUGAGUGCAUCAUCCAAAUUCCCAUUUCUGGCCAUUAUAGCACUUUCUACAGCAACCACCCUUUAAACUCCUCCUCUUAAGAUGAUUUCCUGUGAUCGUAGUCACCUUAGUGUAUGAUCAUUACCAGACAAAGAUUUUACUAAGUUACCUAGCUGGUGUCCCCACUGCACAGCACAAACACUUGGCCGCUGGUUUGCUUUGGGGCCAUCUGCAAAUCUCUUAUUUGCCCCUAGAUUGAUUUAUUUCUUCAUUUAGACUAAGGUCACUAGGGUCAUUCGACGGGACAUGGUCGGCCCGGCCAGAACGCGUUGUGUGCACCAGUGCGCGCGGUGACCACCUCUCUGGCGUGCAAUGGCUGCGUCCAGAAUGGCUUCUUGCUCGGGCCCCUCCUCUGCUCGGUGUCUCAGCGAGCACGGGCAUGUCCAUUGUCUUCCUCUCGUCGUCGCCGUUCCCCUGGACCCCUCUCACCCUCCGUCCGAUUCCCCACCGACGCAAGCCGCCGCGCGCCCACGAGAGCACAGUGGAGCUUUGGAUCUUCCCGUCGCCGUCGUCUUCCUCCCUGCGCCCCUUGGCUUCCUCUGCCCCGUGAGAACCUCUACUGUGCCUCCCUCGUCGCCUGCCCCCGAGCUCGAGCGCGCGGGCACGCGUCCGCGGCACCGGACACGCGUCCGCGGUGGUGCCAGCUCGGCCUCCCUCGCCCCGCCUAUAAAUGGCCCUCCCCCGAGCGUUUCGAGCUCACCAGCAGCCUUCCCACACUCCUCUACACCUCCCCGACCUCUCAUUCGAGCUCCAAGAGCUCCUGAGCCCGCCCUUGCCGCCAUGGCUGCCGCCUCUGCCCCUCUUCGAUUCGGGAAAGCCGAGCCCUUCCCCUCCAUUCUGUCCCCACCAAUAGCCUCCCCGGAGUCCAGCAACUCGCCCCAACUCCUUUCCCCUCGCUGGAGUGCCCCGCAGCCCCUUAGCCAAAUCCCACCCGAAGCCCCCUCCGCCGGAGUGCUUGCGGCUCUCAACCCCGCCCUCCUCGAGGUCCGUUCUGUCCUGGAGCGGGUCGGCCUCGUCGCCCUGAGCACGUGGGUAGGUCGAGCGCCGCCUACGAUGGCCGGAGUCGCCGGCGAUCGUCGUCAGGGCGGCCGGUCUCGCCUCUGCCUCAGCGCGCGUCGGGGGAAGGAGAGGAGGAGAGGGAGGAGAGAGAAGGUCAACGCGGGUCCCACCCGUCAGCCGCACGAGGCGCCUGCUGACGUGGAUAAGUGGACACGCAGUUCUGGUGACUACGUCUUCAUGCGUUGAAAGCGUAUUAUCCGGGUGCUUUGGCUGAAAGUACUCUUUCGCGUUAGGAAAGCGUAUUUGCUGAAGUACGCCUUCUGUUUUUCUGCCUAAGUCCAGUCUGAAAAUAUUUCAUUACAGAUGGGUCCCUGGCAGAAAACACCUCAUAACUUUUUGUCCGUAACUCCAAAUGAGGUGAAUCCAAAGCCUACUUCUUUGUUUCGUCGAGCCCGUUCGGUUGGUUUCAUUUUCACUAUGGUUUGACACUGUGAAAAUGACCUUUUUGCCCUUGCACGUAAACAGCCCCUCCGAGAGAGAACUGUUUCCGGCAAAUCUUUCCGCGGCUUCACCGCACUUCUCCCCGGUGCCUUCUUCAUCCCCAGGCAAGCCACAAUACCCAUUUGCAUGAAAUUCAUGCAGUAGCCAUGGUUUUCAACUUGAAUAUUUAUUAAAUGAUUGCUUGUUUAAAACAUGGUUAUCGUUGUUUCGGUAAUGCUUCUGGUUUAGUGCUUACUUGUUUGCUAUGUUGUUAUGCACCUGGUUAUCAUGCCCUGCUAGUUGCUAGUAUUGCUUUCAUAUUGCCAUGCUUGAUAGUAGUACAUGUUGGGUUGGUCAUGUUCUUCGGUGCAUGAUUAACGUCGGUUAUCGAGUACCAUUAAUAUGCGUUGUUCCUUUGUUGUUAGUUGGUUAAGUCUUACUCGGUGAUGUUAUUGAUGAUUUCUUGCAUGUUAUUUAUGUUUGAUGACAAUGGUCAUGUUAUGCUAUGAGUAGUGUUGUACUUGUAAAAUUUAUGCUCGUCAUUAUGCCAUGUUCAGUUGGAGAUUAUUCAUAGUUGAUAUGGUGGAUAGUUAUGUUGCAUCCCGUACUUAUGUUGAUAUCAUGUUCAUGCAUUGUAAUUGCAUCAUGUUAUUUUAUCAUGGCUCAGCAUUUUGCAUUCAAGUUUAACCGGAUUUAAUUGAACUUGAACAACUGUUGGCUGAGUCAUGGUGCCGCCAGAUCGAAACUGACCAGUGCAACCACGCUUAUCUUAUGGGUAAGGUCCUAACUGGGUCUAUUGUCGUGCAUCUCGCUGGUGCCUCCCACGAGGGAAGGUUAUGGGCGUGCUUACCCUGAUCAGGUGCCCGUUGUUUUUAUUUUUAUGGAUCCGGUCCCCGUGAGGGAGUUUUGACCACGACGGUGGUCGGGGUGUCUUUGGUAGACACGGGGCCACCCAGGACUAGCCCAGUUGGGAGUGGGUCGGAGUGGCCGGCAGAGUGUCAUGACAAUAGAUCGGUUUUGUCGGAACGCCGUUGGUCCACCCGAAUGGGAGUGCGAGGCCAUGGGUUCCGUGGUGUGGGUACAGGGUACUAACCUCUGCAGAGUGUAUAUUAAAUCUAUCGAUAGCUGCGCCCGCGGAUAAGGGCCCAGUUCGUGUUGGUCCCACCGUGAGUCAACAGUAUUAAUAAUAACUGGAUUAAUAACAACCCCGGUUUGAUGAUGAGAUAAGUUGGUUGUGAUCGCCGGAAAGAUCACUGUUUGAGACCAAGUGUUGGUCAUGGUUGUGAUCGCCGGAAUGAUCACCGUGGUAUCGAGGAUACCGAGUUGUUGGAUAUUCGUGAUCUUGUGCGAGAAUCAUGGGUAAAGAUCAGGCUCCUUGUGGUCAUUUAAUGAUUACUACGGUAUUGUUUAUACCAAGCUUGAUUUGAUCCUGAGAUAAUCGUGUGAUGUCCGAGGUUGGUAAGUGAUGCGUGUGAUGGUUGCGAAAUAACCCGAGCAGAAUUAAUGGUGCAUGUAGUGUCAUCAUGUUGCAUGCUAGUAUCAUCGGAUUUAUAUGUAUAUGCUAUGCUCAUGUUGUUUUACCUGUAUCAUGUUCAUGUUGCCUUUGGAUUCUUAGUGGCUAUUAUGAUUAUUUUCGUGAUGGUAGCUGAUAUUAUUUUGGAGUAUUACUUUGGAUGUCAUGUUGCUCAUGCCAUGUUGUUAUAAGGAUCUCAUGUUAAUUCCUGCUUAACUUGUAAUUGCCAUGCUGUUGUUUGUCUUGAAUGCUUCUGGUUAAUUGUGAGCUUGCAAGUACAUUCAAUGUACUGACCUGGCGUGUCAUGCCAGCUUGCAGGUGGUGCCUGGAUUGCUUGCUUGUUUGGUGUUGUUCCUGUGUUCGCGAGCUAGGAUAAGCGUUCCAGCCAGAGUCCCUGCAGAGUGGAGUUCACCACCGUCGUCGUUGUUCCGCUGCUAGAGUUAUUCCGCUGCUUCGAGUUGUUCUGCUGCUUGCAUAGAGCAACUGAGGAUGGCGUAGUGUCACCGUGCCAAUGUUAUUCAUUGUAAUAUCGGAGACCUUGUAUUCAUAUUCGUGAUAUAAUAGAAAGCUGGUUUGUUCUAUGCUAAGCAGUGCCAUAUUCCAGAAGACUUCUCCUCGAUCUCUGGGCUAGAAUACGGGGCGUUCCGGUUUUCUCUGAGCCGGGGUGCCACAGCACUUGGUAUCAGAGCAGGUCUGGCUGUAGGACGCCCUAGACCGCGCGAGCGUUAGAAAGCGGUAGUAUAGACCCUAGUUUGUUUGUUGCACUUGAUUGCUGCAUUUGUUUGUUGUAUAGCAUGCAUAUAGCCUUAGUAUUUGUGAUAACGGUUUAUCUGGUGAGUGUAGCUGGCAUCGGUUCGGAUCCACUGCAGCUCAACCUUUGCAUUUCUCUAGUUCCUUUUUCUUUCGGUGUUUGGUGUCAUUUCUGUCCCAGCAGAGUGAUGCCAAGUGAUCCUGACACUAUUUGCAAAAAUGGUGCUCAGGCAUAGCGCCGAUGUCUUUCUUUCAGUCCCGUCUAUCAUUUCGGUGAUGGACAUGUGUCUAUCCCGGAUCGUUCUUUUAUUCUGUCGUGUUGGCAACCCUUAAUGAUCUUAGUUAUCAAGAAAGGGCAAUGGCAGCAGCCUCAGUUUUUCCCCGCAAUCCUAUUUCUUGGACGAGUACGGAUCUUUUUCCGCCCGCUUGAUAAUAAUGUGGCUGCGACCUUCGUGUCCUACUGCAUGAUUACCGAGUACGUCCUCGCCUUGAAGCUAGUCCAGGUUGUUACCUGGCUAAGCUAGCACUUGGUGUAGCGCUGUUUACACCAAUUCUUCCACACAUUUAUUCGUCCUCGUGCACAUCGUCACAACAUGCUAGAUCGUAGUACCGGAGAUUCCGCGAAAUUUGUGUGCUUAAGUAGGCAUGCAUAUUGUGUGAGUAGCAGUAAUAUGUGUUGAUUGCUUGAUUAAUUUAGUAGAAUGCUUGUGUGCUUUUGUUUUAGACGUUUCUUUUGUUCCUUUCUUUGGGCCUUCAGUGUUACAAAUUUUUCCCCUAUUAAAGUUGCUCGUCAGCCGACACUGGACCCGAAGAGUCAGCAAGAAAUGCAUAUAUUUGGAAACUCAGCUAAACAGAAUGGAAUUAUCAGCUGACUGCAGUGAAAUUGGGAAUAUCUUGUCUGGAUGGAAAAGAAAUCCUAGAUGGACCGUCAGUAUAAAGUUUGCAUUAGCGUGCACUCAUCACAACAAAAUGAUUAAAUCAGCAAGAAGAUAAAUUGUGUGCAAGGUUGCAAGAAUAUUAUCAAAGGUAUGGCUCAGAUACAAGUUUAAUUUUUCGUUGAGGAUGAUUUUGGAACUCGAUGUACCUGGAAGCAAGCAAAAAUAUGGCAUAUACUCAGAAAGGAGGAUAGUCCAGUAAAACCUUGUUUCAUACAAGAAAUCAAUAACAAAAAUAUUAAGAUGGUUAUAUAUGUGGAAAUCGGUCCGCAUAUCACAGUAAGAAGUUUCUGGUGUACGCAACCCAAUUUUCCCUCGCAAGAUACCCGAGAAGCUUCCAAGGCAAGAUUCAUCUAUCUUCCUCAGUACGAUACAUGGAUGAUUUCCCGUACGAGGUACUCUGCCUUCUUCAGUAAGCAACUGCAAAAGCUUCCGGCAUAAGGUACUGAGUCUUUCCCCAGCAAAGUCUUUAAGGGGGUAAGCUUCUGAAGCACGAUACCCGGUCUUCUUCAGCAAGCUGUCCGAUGAAAGUUUCGAGCACAAGGCAACCAAUCUUCCUUAGUAAGACAUUGGUACAAGGUAGUACGCUGUGAAUUGACAGCAUAUGGCAGUGAAUCCCAAGAAUCAGAUCCGCAACAUUUUGAUCAAGAAUCAGUCAGAAUACACGUCUGUCUCGGAAUCAGGUCCUCAUAUAUAUGCAAUGAGCAUACCACCAAGAUCUUACAAGUCACUCGGAUGAGGAUCUGACAACCACGUGAGGAUGGUUACGAGAAUAAAGCCAGUAUACAUCGCAGUGUGACAAAGGAUUAUGAGGGUUGACGACAUCAAUGAGCUCAAUACAAGUACCUGCGAACCUGGAAAAUGAUCCUGAUGAGCCCUUGUCCCCUUUUUCUCCAAAGACGGCACCACGCCUGUGAUCUGAGCUGUUUCUAGCUAUCCAGGGUGGAUGCCUAUUUUUGUUUCUCUCUUCAACGACUGUCACGAGUCUGAGCUGCUUUUCGGCCGUCUCGCACAGCUGUUGAGUUUCUUUUUGUGACAGUAGCCCUAUAGCUGCUUUUUGGCUAUUUUAGGGAGCUGCCACCUUCUUCUUAUCGACCCGGUCUCAUGCUCUGAGCUGUUUUUCGGCUGUCCUGAGCCGUGGUUGAGUUAUUUCAGUAAUUUCCCAGAUCUGAGUGGUAAAGACCGUUCUGGUGGCUACUGAUUUAUUUGCCGAUUUCUUGCAAGGGUUUCAGAUGAUCAUUUCCCAACAAUCGGAACUUGAGAGGUGUUGAACCUGCCAUUUAAUGGGUUACCCUGUCAGAAAAAUGAGGAUAAGCUACGAUUACCGAGAAAUUGCACCGACAGUACCUAUGGUCAUACAAAGAAACAAUAUGGCCAAGCUCUUUCAUCCAAAGAUCCAGACCAAGAAAACAAAAAUGAAGGAGCAAGACCAGCGAUGCAGGUAUGAAAAUUGUUGCAUAACCCCCAUGGUGCAGAUCCCCCGGACAGUCUAAGUCAGUAUUGAUCCACAUGGAUAUGCCUACAGCAUGAGUAAUCGGCAUGAGGAAUAACAGUCUGGAAGCCUGAGUCCUUACUUAUAUGAAUCAUCAUGGAUAGCCUGUCGUGAACAAAAUUUUCCGUCAGAAACACCAUCGGCCAAGUCUGCAAAUAUUAUCAUACAGGCCAAACCCUUUAUGCUGGCCGUGACAGGAGACAAUCAAAUAUUUGGUACGGAUCCGAUACUCACGACAAUGGAACCGGUUAAGAUGAUUCAGAAACUUCUGCGAUGAGUCAGAAUCUGUCAGGAAACGGUUAUGUUUUAACUCACUGUUUGGAACCCAAAGGACCUGCAUUUAGUGGAGAAACCCAAUGCAAUGAGUCAGAGCUUGAGUUUUCAUCAGAAAAUUCUGAUCAUCAUUACAUGAAAGGUUGUCAGUGCCAGGUGGCACACCCAACGGAAAUCACUCCUGGACUUGUGAGACAGACAUAUAUUUCAGUUGUGAAAUAAAUCACACUCAGCUAGUCAGCAGAUCUAAAAAAAAAUUGGAGCCUAUAUAAGCAUGAGCAAGCCAGGUAAGAUCUGUCAGAAUGUGGAUACAGUAAAGCAAGCCACCCAGGGCCAGUAAGAUAAAAAUUUAGUGGGAACAACAAUAAAGGAAAAAGGACACCCGAGUUGGAAACGGUUUCCUUAAGUCAGAAUAUUCAUACUAGUUCCCUGAGAAACCAAAUCUCGAGGACGAGAUUUCUUUAAGGGGGUAAGUUUGUGACAGCCUGAUUUUUUGCCCUUUCUUUUUCUUUUGUUUUUCUGAGGUUUUUGCCUGAGUUUUUCUUUUUCCGUGGCUUUGUGGUCUGGAAACUGAAGAAGAUGCCCUCUUCUUUGUUUCCAGAGUGGCUUGUCAUUCCCAAAUCUUUCCCUAGACCCUGUCAUUUUCAUCCUAGCCCAAAUCCCAAUAUUCUUUUAUUGGGAAUAUUCCUUUUCUAUUAAAGGAAUAACUCAAAUUGCCCUAGGUUGUGAAGCAACCUAUAUUUCCCUCAUUCCUAAAAUUCCCAAAUAAUUCUCAUAAUUUUUUGGGGUCAUAUCUUGAUCAAAUAUGGCAAAAACUUUCAUUGCCAUGUUCAAAAAUAAUUCCCCAAUAAUUCAUUUCCUAUUCUGCCCCAAAUGGCACAUUGUGAAGCAAGUUCCAUUUUCCUUUGCCCAAUUGACCUAAAACUCCUUGGACAUCUUUUCAUGUCCAUAUCUUUG